GCACACAGACACGGGGGUGAGGGGUACACCUGGAGAGGCCAUAGGAGCUCGGAGCCUUUCCCACAUACCUUGCCCUAUGCAUUUAUUCCAUCUGGCUAUUGCUGAGUUAUGGUUAAACUGGUAAUCUAAUAAAAUCUUUCCCCCACAUCUUCCUCAUCCUGCCCAAGAUUUCCUGUCUCCCAAUUCCAGUCUCCAUCGGUCCUAGGCAGAGCAAUCUCCCUCUCCUCCAGCAUCUCCACACCCAAUAUCAAUAUCACCUUUAAGAAUCUGAAAGAUGAUUAGACUGAACACUCAAUGCAUGUACUUAGUGAACAGAAAGGUCCCCAGCUACCAAAGAGAUGAGACAGCUACAUGGAGCACUUCAUUUGGAUAUGUCUGAAAUCUUGAAAACUUGACCACCCUACGUUGUCCUGCAAAUAGACCUGGAGAGCUUGUGUGGACGUUCUAGUGGGAGAGUGCAGCUACUCCUCUACCCUUGACCAAAGAACAGUCGCCCUCUCCGAGAGUGCAUGGCUUCGAGAGCACCCAUCUUGGGAUGUAUUAUGGAAGUGAAGGGGCACCAGACUAAGAAGACUCCUCGGAUAAGCAUGUGACCAGCCUUGGAAUUUAAGGUUGAACUUGCAGAGAACGUAAUAUCUAAGUGUGAUUCAGCUGUAAAUCAUAGAAACCCUGACUUAAGGGGGAGAGGGUCUUAUUAUCUCAAAAGUGAAAAAGUGGGUCCAGAAGCCCUAUAAUA